rnacentral:rRNA from 1 species
UACAGAGGGUGCAAGCGUUGUUCGGGAUUAUUGGGCGUAAAGGGUGCGUAGGCGGCGGGGUAAGUCUGAUGUGAAAUACCGGGGCUCAACCCCGGAACUGCAUUGGAUACUGCCUUGCUAGAGAACUGGAGAGGAGACUGGAAUUUACGGUGUAGCAGUGAAAUGCGUAGAGAUCGUAAGGAAGACCAGUGGCGAAGGCGAGUCUCUGGACAGUAUCUGACGCUGAGGCACGAAGGCCAGGGGAGCAAACGGG